UGAGUUUCACAUGUUUGAUAUGUAAGUGGGGCUCUUCACUGGCCUUGCUAGGCAACUGUAGCUUCUGUAGAAGAAGAUUUAGGAAAGGACUGUGAUCAUAUUUUUUUUAAAUCUUAUUCCCCAAGUUGUAUAUGACUGUUUGCUCUGUUUGCUAAGGAGUCAGUUUGGCAUUUAGUGCCAGGGAAUCCACCCCAGUACUCAUUUAAUCAAGUUUUUAUGAAAAUGUGGCAUCUUGUUUUGGUUCUUUGCACUGAUUUUAUAGCCUUAAUAUAAUGGUUUGACUCCUGAUUCCCUAAGGACUGCUUGUGUUUUGAAAGGAUAGUCCUCGCAUUGUUUAUAGAAGUUUACAUUUUAUAAUAGCUUUUUAAAAAAAGCUGCAAAUAUGACUAAUGGAAGCCUCACUUCACACCGUCUGCUGGUGUCGUGCUCUUUAGAGUGACAUCGGUUAUCACUCUUUCUCUGUUUUAUUGUAAAGAGAAGUAGUAAUUUUUUCUUAGCACAGCAUCACCUCCAAAGUCACCGCAGAAGUCUCCUUUGAUCUUACUCAUUCUCAUCCUUUCUCUCUCUUUCUCACACCCAGAUGCAGCACACAGCCUACUACAUACACACCUACGUCCACAUACCCCUGGCAAGCAAAAUUCUAAAAAGGAAUCUGUUGUCCUAGGAUACCAGACCUCCAAGAGAACAUUCUAGAAGUUACUUUUCUUCCUCCUCUCAAUGUAUAAAAACUCUAGGCUGUCCUGUGAGAACAGGACUUUAAAAAGAAGUCAUGGGAACGACAAUUACUGGAAAAUAACUGGCUGCCUCAUCUUUGGCUUAGGUGGUUUCAGUAUUGUUGAAUUCUCGUCUGUUUCAGAGCAAACCAAGGGAGUCUUCCAUUGAUGCAAGAUUUAAGGAUAUUGCCAAACUUGGUUUUGAGGUGGUUCCAGUAGACAGAAACAUGACGGCUACAGGUAGACAUGAGGAGUCUUAAAUUCUGGUAUCUUUAUGUGCUCUGUGUAAAUUUUGUAUUUUUAUGUUAACCUGGUUUUGUACCUUGCCUGGAGCUCUCCUAUGUGAAUGUGCGUAGGCUGUCCUAUGUUGCAAUACAGUAUAGGCUGCUUGGAUUCUAAUGACCCUUUCUGUCAUUUCCAAACACUCUUUGAUUGGAAGGAGCCUAGGCUCUUCA
rnacentral:lncRNA from 12 species